UUGUGCAACCAAUUUCAGUUUUCCACAACAGGGGAACCUUAUAUAAACUAAUACCCAUAUCUUUGCACAUGCACAAGCUUUGAGAAUCAUGGUUACCAUAAAAAACAUUGCUGUUCGUUUGGCUCUGUUUUUCUUGGUGUUUGUUGCCCUCUUCGCUCCCCAUGAAUGCAAAAAAUGUGAAAAGAUUCUGAGACAUAAUGGAUUCUGCAUGCUUCAGGCUUGUGACUAUUGGUGCAAGAUAGAACAUCGUGACCAAAGUGCUCGUGGAUAUUGCAUCACGAAGCCUAGAAGAAAUUGCAUGUGUAGUUUCCCCUGCCCUUAUUAAUUUUGAUUAUUCCCAGGGGGGUUACCUGCUGUAUUGUUUUCGUAUAGGAGUAAAAAAAGUCAAAAUGGAACCUCCUUGCGUUACUGAUAUGAAUGCGAUAAUGCAUUUCAUCGUAUAAAGCGAGGGUAUUGGAGACCAUGGAUGAAUAAGAAUUCGUGAUGGUAAAUUGAUUUUUGAA